AAGAAUAUCGCGAGGGGCGGCUCAAAGCCUUAUAUAAAGCACCUCAAGGGAUGAGAGAAGGGGCACGCACAAAAACGCUCUCAACUUCAGGCUAUAAAAAACGCUCUGACUUUGAAGGCAAAAACACUUAUUUUCAUAUUCUAGAACACUUGUACGAUCAAAUCAUUACUUUCUUAUUAAUACAAUCAAGAACACCGUCCGCGGUAAUUGAGAAUUCUGUUGUUCUUUGAGAAUCUCACAAAGAUUCGUUCUUUGAAGAAACCCUUAAAACAAUUUCUAUUGUGCGAGUUUUGACUCUCACAAUUUAGCGCUAGAAGGAGGGGACUUGAGAUUUCUCUUACUCCCGGAACACAGAACCAACCACCCAAUUCACAAUGGUCAACAAUCAAAUCCCCGGUAACACAGUUGAUGCAGAGGGA
rnacentral:sRNA from 1 species